UACUGGCUCAGGAUGAACGCUAGCUACAGGCUUAACACAUGCAAGUCGAGGGGCAGCAUGAUCGAAGCUUGCUUGAUGAUGGCGACCGGCGCACGGGUGAGUAACGCGUAUCCAACCUUCCCUAUAGUAGAGAAUAGCCCGGCGAAAGUCGGAUUAAUGCUCUAUGUUGUAUUUAGAAGACAUCUGAAGAAUACCAAAGGUUUACCGCUAUAGGAUGGGGAUGCGUCUGAUUAGGUUGUAGGCGGGGUAACGGCCCACCUAGCCGACGAUCAGUAGGGGUUCUGAGAGGAAGGUCCCCCACAUUGGAACUGAGACACGGUCCAAACUCCUACGGGAGGCAGCAGUGAGGAAUAUUGGUCAAUGGACGGAAGUCUGAACCAGCCAAGUAGCGUGCAGGAUGACGGCCCUAUGGGUUGUAAACUGCUUUUAUAUAGGGAUAAAGUCGGGGACGUGUCCCCGUUUGUAGGUACUAUAUGAAUAAGGACCGGCUAAUUCCGUGCCAGCAGCCGC
rnacentral:rRNA from 1 species